UCAAUGAUAGGUAUACAACAAAAUAGUGUCAGAUGCAUGCACAAAAGACACAUGACAUAACAACGCAUACUCAUAAUGGAUUAAUUUCUUCUUAUUAAGACAUAUUUUCAAUAUCACUAUAAUUGAUCAUUAUUGCAAAAGCACUCAUAAAAGAUAAAAGAAUUAACUGAUUACACAAUUUUUUUGCAUCCCCCCGGGGGACAAGGGUAGAUAUAGUCUUCGAGAGCUUUUUUUAACUUCGCAAUCAAACACUCUUCCCUUGUAAGCCCUAAGCAGUCAACAAUGUCAAGUGAUGCCGUAGGAUUAAUUGAAAACGAAGCAUAUGGGUUGGAUCCUUGGCCAUUAUGACUUGUUGAAAUAAGUGUGCUUUCAGUGUUUACCACUACAAGCAAAGCUAAGAUGAUGAAACUAAGACUCUUCGACAUAUUUUUGUUUCUUAGGUGAAUUGUAAGUAACUUAAUUAGAAAUAAAAGAGAUCU
rnacentral:lncRNA from 1 species